UACGUAGGGUGCGAGCGUUAAUCGGAAUUACUGGGCGUAAAGCGUGCGCAGGCGGCGCGUUAAGACAGGUGUGAAAGCCCCGAGCUUAACUUGGGAAUUGCGCUUGUGACUGGCGUGCUGGAGUGUGGCAGAGGGAGGUGGAAUUCCACGUGUAGCAGUGAAAUGCGUAGAGAUGUGGAGGAACACCGAUGGCGAAGGCAGCCUCCUGGGCCAGCACUGACGCUCGAUGCACGAAAGCGUGGGGAGCAAACAGG
rnacentral:rRNA from 1 species